CACCUUGUAGAAGAACAACGACUUCAUGAAGUUUGGCGACGUAGGAGGUAAUUAAUUAACACCGAUCGUUGUUACAGCUUUGCAUUAUAUUUUCAUAACACUAGUCUUGAUCUUACUGGGACCAAGUAUAAUAGUAGGCUAAAAGCUUGCUUACAUGCAUGGUACUUUUGUCCAUGCAAAGAAGAGGGAUAUUGGAAAAGAGUAUUUAGUGGGCUCUAAUGCAAGAGUCAAACUGUAAGGGUGCUCUAGGUCAAAAAAAAGGGAUGAAAGAGAAAGAGAGAGUGCAAAACUAACCUAAUAGUCAACUCUUGUCUCGUAUCCUCUUGAUGACAUAUUUUAUAUCGGUGGCUAUAUCAUUAACCCUGCUAUUAAGUAUAUAUAUGUGUAUUUAUCGUUUCAUCACUCCACAAUUAAGUUCAUGUAUGUAUAUAUGUUUCUCUUUUGAAGGAAUGAGCACAAGAAGAUGUCGGAAAUUUUUAAGCAUGUAUGGGGGAGUAUGAAGUUGUGGGCUGGUGGUAUCGUUGUAACAGAGCUCAUUUUAUUUGUUGAUGAUGUGCGACGCAACACUGCUAGUACUCCUACUAGCGUGGAAGAACCUAACAAGAAGUGCCCGUGUUGCGGCACUCACCUACACGAUUAAUUAACUAUCAAAAGCUAAGUUGCAUCCGACAGUUGAUGCCCAGUUUUUAUAUCCUAAUAACAAUUGUGCCGGUAUGCAUGUGCUUUAUUUUAUUGUGAUGAGCAUUAUUACGUGUGAACUGAUUGUAACAAUUGUGAUUACUGGACAAAGCUUGACUGCUGUAAGAAAAUCAGGGAUACAUCGUUUGGAUUUGAUAAUAUAUAUCAUGUGUG
rnacentral:lncRNA from 1 species